ACUACCAUAAACGUGCCCGAUCUCGUUGAUCUCGGAAGCUAAGCAGGGUCGGGCCUCGUUAGUACUUGGAUGAGCAAAUUUUUUUAUAACUACCUGUCCAAAAAACCAAGCU
rnacentral:rRNA from 1 species